AUUGAACGCUGGCGGCAGGCCUAACACAUGCAAGUCGAACGAGUGGCGGACGGGUGAGUCAUGUCUGUGACCCUGCCCGAUGGAGGGGGAUACCUACUGGAACCGGUAGCUAUUACCGCAUACCAUCGGAUGUGCCCAGAUGGGAUUAGCUAGUAGGUGGGGUAACGGCUCACCUAGGCGACGAUCCCUAGCUGGUCUGAGAGGAUGACCAGCCACACUGGAACUGAGACACGGUCCAGACUCCUACGGGAGGCAGCAGUGGGGAAUAUUGCACAAUGGGCGAAAGCCUGAUGCAGCCAUGCCGCGUGUAUGAAGAAGGCCUUCGGGUUGUAAAGCACUGUCAGCGGGGAGGCGGUACCCAAAGAGGAAGCACCGGCUAACUCCGUGCCAGCAGCCGCGGUAAUAC
rnacentral:rRNA from 1 species